rnacentral:rRNA from 1 species
UACGUAGGUGGCAAGCGUUGUCCGGAUUUAUUGGGUUUAAAGGGUGCGUAGGCGGCUUAAUAAGUCAGUGGUGAAAGCCGAUCGCUUAACGAUCGAACUGCCAUUGAUACUGCUAGGCUUGAGUAUAGUUGAGGUAGGCGGAAUUGACAGUGUAGCGGUGAAAUGCAUAGAUAUUGUCAAGAACACCAAUUGCGAAGGCAGCUUACUAAAGUAUAACUGACGCUGAGGCAACGAAAGUGCGGGGAUCAAACAGG